rnacentral:rRNA from 1 species
GACGAACGCUGGCGGCGUGCUUAACACAUGCAAGUCGAACGGUGAACUCCGCUUGCGGGGGGAUCAGUGGCGAACGGGUGAGUAACACGUGGGCAACCUGCCCUCAGCUCUGGGAUAACUCCAAGAAAUUGGGGCUAAUACCGGAUAUGACCGCUGACCGCAUGGUCUGGUGGUGGAAAGAUUUAUCGGCUGGGGAUGGGCCCGCGGCCUAUCAGCUUGUUGGUGGGGUAGUGGCCUACCAAGGCGGCGACGGGUAGCCGGCCUGAGAGGGUGACCGGCCACACUGGGACUGAGACACGGCCCAGACUCCUACGGGAGGCAGCAGUGGGGAAUAUUGCGCAAUGGGCGAAAGCCUGACGCAGCGACGCCGCGUGGGGGAUGACGGCCUUCGGGUUGUAAACCUCUUUCAGCAGGGACGAAGCGAAAGUGACGGUACCUGCAGAAGAAGCACCGGCCAACUACGUG